rnacentral:lncRNA from 10 species
CUCUCUUUUCUAAAGAGAAGAGAAAAGAGCACAAGAAACCAAAUAACCAUGUUACUCUGUAUAAAAAUGCUAAUCAGGAUUCUGAAUCAAUAAUGCUCCAAUGAAGGACAGAAUUUAAUUAGAAACAACACUAACCACAAGAGCCUAGCACAACCCAAACUCAGAGCUUCCUGGUAAUCUCAAUGCGAUGGAUUCAUUACACAGACCAUCUUAUUAAAAUUCUCAUCUGAGAGCUAAUCAGCAUUGAAUGCAUCAUUUAUUUUAUGACACCAAAAUUAACUGCAGUGAUUCUUUAAGCAUGGGGACACGUGACUCCCACUCUCAGCCCCGAGGGAUGACAGCCAAGAGCCUGGCUUCUGCCCAAGAUUCCAUCCGUUUUGGUCUGCAGUGCAUGGUCAACCAUGAUCCACAAAGCAGCAACCCGGGGGCUGCAGCUGCCGUGAUGCGGGGGUUCCAAUGGAAAGAGCAGCUUCUAACAUGUUGGCCAGCGUGGAAAAACUCUACUAAGGACACUAAAGACUGUCCCGCUCACAGCUGGGUUUCUCCUAGGAUGCAUAACUCAGCAGACAUGAACUAGUACUCCAUCAUACUGGUGAACCACAGUGUGUCUACCCAUUCACAUUUGAUGGACCUUUGGGUUACUUCCAGCUUGGGGUAAGCAUGAAUAAAACUGGUACAAACAUUCAUGUUACAACUUUGUAUGUAGGCAUAUAUCUUCAUUUCUCUUAUACAAACACCUUAGAAGUGGGAUGGCUGGGCCAAAUAUAAACGUGGUAAAUAUAUGUUUAAACUUUAUGAGGAACUACCAAACUAUUUUUUUAACGGCUGUGUCAUUUGACAUGUCCAUCAACACUGUAUGAAAGUUCCCACCAAUCAGCAUCCUUGUCAGAACUUGUCAUUGUCAGAUAUUUAAAUCUGAUUCACUCUAAUAGAUGUGUAGUGGUAUCUAACUGUGAUUUUAAUGUGCAUUUUUGUAACAACUGAUGGUCAUUUCAUGUGCUUAUCUGCCAUCCACAUCUCUUCUCUGGUGAAAUGCCUAUUAAAAAUUUUGCCCAUUUUUUAUUGGGUUUUUCUAUUAUUGACACUCUCCUUUAUGCAUUAAUC